ACUCCUUACAAAAAUGGCUGCGCCUAUGAUGCAUCUUUUUAACAUUAAGGUUAGAAAAAUGGUACAAAUGAAAAUAUUUAUAAAAACUUUAUACGUUAGUAAUCAUAUAUCCAUAGUAACUAAAUAUAUUAAAACAAGAAAAGAAAAUCUUUUGUUUACUUGAGUUAAAAUAUAAUUUUAUAAAUUUGGAUGUUAACAUUAUCAUUCUCAGUGUGUUUGAAACUCAUUCUAAUAAUUUAUCUUAUUUAUCCAUCAACACUUAUUGCAUUCAUAAAACUGAAGAAAAUAUUCUAUAUGAAUGGGCAAGAGAUCACUCAUUCUUUUUGUCGAUGAGAGUAAUACCAUCAAAGCGAAGAAGAAAAGUAAUAGAACUAUGGAAAGUCUAAUGAUAUUGUCACCUGCUAUAAACUUGUCUGUUAAGAAAACUAGAGAGAAGUAAUGGAGCAAUAUAGUAGUACCUUAUUCUGAUCUAUGCAUAGUAAUUACUUAAUUUUUGAUUUAUUGAAUAUGAAUAAUCAUAAAUUAUUAUCAGAAAAAUAUAAAAGUAAUUAUGGUACAACAACAACAACUUUCUUACCCAAUGUGGAUCUUUUAUUAUUAUGCAGUACAAUGCCUGUUAAUGACACGGAGGAAGGCAAAAAGAAGAAUUGCUACUAUAAUUCCAUUGCUAUAGCUAUAUUUCGCCUAUUAUUUUAAAAUUAGUUGAAUUUAAAAAAGAGUAUAAUACACCGUGGCAAAAGAAAAUGCUUUUUGUAUUAACUAAAAUAAAAAUGUUGUUGUUAGAAUGAUUCAUUAAAAAUAAAUAACUUUAAUAUUCUUACUUCGGAAAAUACUUGGUGAGACGCUAUAAAAAAACCUCCAAUUGAGAGCGCACAUUCCAUUUUGCUUCUUACAAUCAUAAACAACAGCAUUUUUUGAGUUUUUAUAGAAAGCAUAUAGAAUGGAACUUGACAUCUGUACAGAAAUUUUUGAUUUAUAUACAAAAUACAUAAUGGUAAAUCGCUUAAUAAUUAGACUAUCUUUUAUAUAAAUUUUAUAAAUAUUUGUUAACUCUUUCGCUCCUGUACACUUCUACUAAAAUACCUUACAUAAAUUGUAAAAUUUUUUAAAUGUGCUGUUUAAAGAUGAUGUUUAGUAGUUCUGUGUAUGUUGUAAAUUUUGAAUAAAGCUUUAAAUGACCUACA